rnacentral:rRNA from 2 species
UUAAGCGACUAAGCGUACACGGUGGAUGCCUAGGCAGUCAGAGGCGAUGAAGGGCGUGCUAAUCUGCGAAAAGCGUCGGUAAGGUGAUAUGAACCGUUAUAACCGACGAUACCCGAAUGGGGAAACCCAGUGCAAUUCGUUGCACUAUUGCAUGGUGAAUACAUAGCCAUGCAAGGCGAACCGGGGGAACUGAAACAUCUAAGUACCCCGAGGAAAAGAAAUCAACCGAGAUUCCCCUAGUAGCGGCGAGCGAACGGGGAGGAGCCCAGAGUCUGAAUCAGUUUGUGUGUUAGUGGAAGCGUCUGGAAAGUCGCACGGUACAGGGUGAUAGUCCCGUACACCAAAAUGCACAGGCUGUGAACUCGAUGAGUAGGGCGGGACACGUGACAUCCUGUCUGAAUAUGGGGGGACCAUCCUCCAAGGCUAAAUACUCCUGACUGACCGAUAGUGAACCAGUACCGUGAGGGAAAGGCGAAAAGAACCCCGGCGAGGGGAGUGAAAUAGAACCUGAAACCGUGUACGUACAAGCAGUGGGAGCACCUUCGUGGUGUGACUGCGUACCUUUUGUAUAAUGGGUCAGCGACUUAUAUUUUGUAGCAAGGUUAACCGAAUAGGGGAGCCGUAGGGAAACCGAGUCUUAACUGGGCGUCUAGUUGCAAGGUAUAGACCCGAAACCCGGUGAUCUAGCCAUGGGCAGGUUGAAGGUUGGGUAACACUAACUGGAGGACCGAACCGACUAAUGUUGAAAAAUUAGCGGAUGACUUGUGGCUGGGGGUGAAAGGCCAAUCAAACCGGGAGAUAGCUGGUUCUCCCCGAAAGCUAUUUAGGUAGCGCCUCGUGAACUCAUCUUCGGGGGUAGAGCACUGUUUCGGCUAGGGGGCCAUCCCGGCUUACCAAACCGAUGCAAACUCCGAAUACCGAAGAAUGUUAUCACGGGAGACACACGGCGGGUGCUAACGUCCGUCGUGAAGAGGGAAACAACCCAGACCGCCAGCUAAGGUCCCAAAGUCAUGGUUAAGUGGGAAACGAUGUGGGAAGGCAUAGACAGCCAGGAUGUUGGCUUAGAAGCAGCCAUCAUUUAAAGAAAGCGUAAUAGCUCACUGGUCGAGUCGGCCUGCGCGGAAGAUGUAACGGGGCUAAACCAUGCACCGAAGCUGCGGCAGCGACACUUAGGUGUUGUUGGGUAGGGGAGCGUUCUGUAAGCCGUUGAAGGUGACCUGUGAGGGUUGCUGGAGGUAUCAGAAGUGCGAAUGCUGACAUAAGUAACGAUAAUGCGGGUGAAAAACCCGCACGCCGGAAGACCAAGGGUUCCUGUCCAACGUUAAUCGGGGCAGGGUGAGUCGACCCCUAAGGCGAGGCUGAAAAGCGUAGUCGAUGGGAAACAGGUUAAUAUUCCUGUACUUGGUGUUACUGCGAAGGGGGGACGGAGAAGGCUAGGCUAGCCGGGCGACGGUUGUCCCGGUUUAAGCAUGUAGGCGGAGCGACUUGGUAAAUCCGGUUGCUUAUCAACGCUGAGGUGUGAUGACGAGUCACUACGGUGAUGAAGUAGUUGAUGCCAAGCUUCCAGGAAAAGCCUCUAAGCAUCAGGUAACAUUAAAUCGUACCCCAAACCGACACAGGUGGUCAGGUAGAGAAUACUCAGGCGCUUGAGAGAACUCGGGUGAAGGAACUAGGCAAAAUGGUGCCGUAACUUCGGGAGAAGGCACGCUGGCAUUAGGUAAUGGGACUUGCUCCCGGCGCCGAAGCCAGUCGCAGAUACCAGCUGGCUGCAACUGUUUAAUAAAAACACAGCACUGUGCAAACACGAAAGUGGACGUAUACGGUGUGACGCCUGCCCGGUGCUGGAAGGUUAAUUGAUGGGGUCAGCCGCAAGGCGAAGCUCUUGAUCGAAGCCCCAGUAAACGGCGGCCGUAACUAUAACGGUCCUAAGGUAGCGAAAUUCCUUGUCGGGUAAGUUCCGACCUGCACGAAUGGCGUAAUGAUGGCCAGGCUGUCUCCACCCGAGACUCAGUGAAAUUGAACUCGCUGUGAAGAUGCAGUGUACCCGCGGCAAGACGGAAAGACCCCGUGAACCUUUACUAUAGCUUGACACUGAACAUUGAGCCUUGAUGUGUAGGAUAGGUGGGAGGCAUUGAAGUGUGGACGCCAGUCUGCAUGGAGCCAACCUUGAAAUACCACCCUUUAAUGUUUGAUGUUCUAACUCGGCCCCGUAAUCCGGGGUGAGGACAGUGUCUGGUGGGUAGUUUGACUGGGGCGGUCUCCUCCCAAAGAGUAACGGAGGAGCACGAAGGUUAGCUAAUCACGGUCGGACAUCGUGAGGUUAGUGCAAAGGCAUAAGCUAGCUUGACUGCGAGAGUGACGGCUCGAGCAGGUACGAAAGUAGGUCUUAGUGAUCCGGUGGUUCUGAAUGGAAGGGCCAUCGCUCAACGGAUAAAAGGUACUCCGGGGAUAACAGGCUGAUACCGCCCAAGAGUUCAUAUCGACGGCGGUGUUUGGCACCUCGAUGUCGGCUCAUCACAUCCUGGGGCUGAAGUAGGUCCCAAGGGUAUGGCUGUUCGCCAUUUAAAGUGGUACGCGAGCUGGGUUUAGAACGUCGUGAGACAGUUCGGUCCCUAUCUGCCGUGGGCGUUGGAAGAUUGAGAGGGGCUGCUCCUAGUACGAGAGGACCGGAGUGGACGAAUCACUGGUGUUCGGGUUGUCAUGCCAAUGGCAUUGCCCGGUAGCUAAAUUCGGAAGAGAUAACCGCUGAAAGCAUCUAAGCGGGAAACUUGCCUCGAGAUGAGUCUUCCCUGGGGCUUUAAGCCCCCUGAAGGAACGUUAAAGACUAUGACGUUGAUAGGCUGGGUGUGUAAGUGCAGCGAUGCAUUGAGCUAACCAGUACUAAUGAUCCGUGAGGCUUAACCUU